rnacentral:rRNA from 1 species
UACGGAGGGUGCAAGCGUUAUCCGGAUUCACUGGGUUUAAAGGGUGCGUAGGCGGGCAGGUAAGUCCGGGGUGAAAUCUCUGAGCUUAACUCAGAAACUGCCAUGGAUACUAUUUGUCUUGAAUAUUGUGGAGGUAAGCGGAAUAUGUCAUGUAGCGGUGAAAUGCUUAGAUAUGACAUAGAACACCAAUUGCGAAGGCAGCUUACUACACAGUUAUUGACGCUGAGGCACGAAAGCGUGGGGAUCAAACAGG